rnacentral:rRNA from 1 species
UCUUCUCGAAUCUGCGAACGGCUCCGCAUACUGGUCAUAAUCAUUAGCAGCGUCUCUCGUUCUUUACGGUUACCAAUGUCAGCAAAAAGCUCUCACGUUUCUGGAGGCCGAGGUAAAUGGAUAUCCAUGGCAAUUCUGUGGCUAAUACAUAAACUACCGACCGGUCCACCUAUAUUAGGGGGGGGCCUUUUUCCCAUCUUUUUUCCCUCUCGGGGGACCUAGAGAUGAGGGAAAGGUCCAACAAAACGAACCUAUUUGGUGGGCCGAGGAGUGUGAGGUUCAAACUGGCUUGGUAUAUCGGGACGGAACGCACAUCCUUUACCCUGCUCCGUGUCUCCCCCGCAAGGGGGGGAUCCGGGCGCACUGGGGGGGUACCUGCAUCUGCACAAUCUUGCGAACCCAUGGGUUUCUUUUUCCCCAUCUUCCUUCCCAGGAAGGAGGGGAUUAAGGUUCCUGAGGGAUCCUUGGGAGUCGGGUAUAGGCGCCUUCCUGGUGGGUCACUGUUCGAGUUUCCAACCUAUCAACUAGAAUGUGGCGUAAUGGAUUGCUAUGGUUACGACGGGUACAGAGGAUUAGGGUUCGAUCCUGGAGAGUGGGCCUGAGAGAUU